UACGAAGGUCCCAAGCGUUGUUCGGAAUCACUGGGCGUAAAGGGUGCGUAGGCGGGUCUUUAAGUCAGGGGUGAAAUCCUGGAGCUCAACUCCAGAACUGCCUUUGAUACUGAAGAUCUUGAGUUCGGGAGAGGUGAGUGGAACUGCGAGUGUAGAGGUGAAAUUCGUAGAUAUUCGCAAGAACACCAGUGGCGAAGGCGGCUCACUGGCCCGAUACUGACGCUGAGGCACGAAAGCGUGGGGAGCAAACAGG
rnacentral:rRNA from 1 species